rnacentral:lncRNA from 1 species
UAAUUUCAUCCAUAGUGAUUUCCUUAAUCAGUGCUCUUUGCUGAUCAAAAGAAAGGCAUAUUCCUUCCUUAACAGUAGCAGAAUUAAGACAUGGCAAUUCAGCAGGACUAUCACCCAUCAGUGAUUUAAACACCUCAAUAAAUUCCUGCUCUACAGGCACAGGAUCUGUUAGUUUUACACCAGUUUCAGUAUAGAUAGAAGUGAUAUUGUUCUGACUGGUUCUUAUCCUCCAUUGUGCAUGAAAGUAUUUGGUGUUGGCAUCACCACAAUCAAUCCAGUUAGCCCUUGAUUUCU